AUUUUUCAAGAAACCAAGUCCAAAGCUGAGUUUAUAGCAGAGCUAAAUUCAGCUGUUUGCAGUGGGCAGAACUGUGCAGAAAUCAGGAAGUUCUGAGUGUUGUUGAAGCAGAAACUCUUGUUCAAACCACAGAAUCUAAAGGGAAAUUAAAGGGAGCCUGGGGCUUUCAACAAGAAAUUUUUCUUUUUACAUAAUGAGAGUUUCUCAUAGCAAUGCAGAAGUUUCAGCAGGGAGAUGACACCUCACCAGCAGGACCCAGAGCACUGGGAAUGCCGGGGAUGCUCAGGAGACUCUUGAUAAAACAAUGACCACAGAACGCUCCUGUAACUCUUCAGACCGUGUUUACAGCCAAGAUGUUAAGAUGGCAACAUGGGAUAAUUUGAAGAUGAUCUGUACUAACAACAAAGAACUUCAAGUUUCAAACCUCCUUAAAAAAGUGGACUCGAUUUCCCCCCAAAAAAUGUGUGUACAUUCCUUAGUCAAGUUAAUAUAAAGUGUGAUAAUCAAUCCUCUCACCAAACAAUAGUUGCUGUUCUGUCAUUUGUCUUACUGUACACAGGAACUCAUGCAAAACUGAAACAGCAAUGUGGGUCGGUUGUUAAGGAGCUCGUAGAUCUAAAAUUUGAGCUCAGGCCACAAGAUCACAUGUACAGCAACAGAACCGAUUCUUUGAUGCAUUGUGAUCAACAAGUUAAAAAUCUGCUUAGGAGAGAUCAUUAAAUCCCACAGAAUACAUUGAAUCGCUUUUUGACUCCCAUUUAGUCAUUAUAAUUUUUAUUAAUAACUUAUUUUCCUUUGAAAACAGGAAU